CUAUUUGGAGUUAAUUUAUUCCUUGGAGUCUUGAAUGUGAAAAGGGGUAAAUUAAUCUACGUUCAUAGGUGUUCGUUAGAGAAGCUUGUGAAUAAUAUAGUGAUCUUUCAUCAGGGUUGGAUUAAAUUGGUAAUUGAAUUAAUAGAUUGAAUGCAUGUGUUUGAGUAACGAUAGUACAUCCCUAGGGUCAGAGUUUUUUUUUAUUAUUUGAGUUUUUAUCCUGUUUUAUUUUGUUUUGUUUGGAUUUUAGUUUUAUUCUUCGUUCUUAUGGGAGUUUGCCUGAAUACUACUAGAGUUUACUCGGGAUUACUUAGAGUGAUUCGUUAUAAUAGU
rnacentral:lncRNA from 1 species